UUGGACAAUGGGGGCAACCCUGAUCCAGCCAUGCCGCGUGAGUGAAGAAGGCCUUCGGGUUGUAAAGCUCUUUCAGCCGGGAAGAAAAUGCAUGGGUUAAUACCCUGUGCAGAUGACGGUACCGGAAUAAGAAGCACCGGCUAACUACGUGCCAGCAGCCGCGGUAAUAAGGGC
rnacentral:rRNA from 1 species